UGAGUCUUGUCACGUUUCGUCCAUACAGAGCUUGUUCUUUCUGCCUGUGAACGUUCUAGAUAACGGAAGUGCGCGUCGUGUAAUUAUAGAAGCAAGGAAAAGUCAAGCCUUACAAAAAUUAGAAGUUAAAAUCCUAUUUAAAAGGGCUAACGUUAAACUAAAAGUACGAUAAAAAAGUGGUUAAAAACACACCGACCACAUUGAGUGUACAACAAAAUUCUACAGAAACAAUACGUUAAAAAGGUCCAAGAGGACCUUUUUUGUGUUUUCGUCUAUUUGUACCAGCACGCGACGCAGCCGAUAACAAAACAGGGCAGAAAUAAAUCGGAACGCCAAUAAUCCGAUACAUCGAACGACUGACAACAAGUACGUCCCUCGUGGCAAAAUCCGAGACUACACGAGAACGAUCGUACUGCUGGUCGUUGGCUCUUCCGGGACGCCGGAAAAGAGCCAAUGGUACCUUGAACGGUGCUGCAAUAUUUCCGCAUCGAUUCAACGAGCCGAACCGAAAAUAACAUCUGCCGUACAUCGGGUUCAACGGAAUGCCGAAAACAACUAAUCUACCUGCCGAGUUGCAAACGAACCGCAAGUAUUAAUGUGUGACGUAUGUAGGGAACAUUAUUAUGAAU